rnacentral:rRNA from 1 species
CAGCAGCCGCGGGAAUACGAGGGGGGCAAGCGUUGUUCGGAUUUAUUGGGCGUAAAGGGUGCGUAGGCGGUUUGGCAAGUCUUGUGUGAAAUCUUCGGGCUCAACCCAAAGCCUGCACGAGAAACUACCGGGCUUGAGUAUUGGAGAGGUGAGUGAAUUUCCGGUGUAGCGGUGAAAUGCGUAGAUAUCGGAAGGAACACCUGUGGCGAAAGCGGCUCACUGGACAAUAACUGACGCUGAGGCACGAAAGCUAGGGGAGCAAACAGGAUUAGAGACCCGUGUAGUCCCUGUCUCUUAUACC